GUUGAAUGACUAUAAUUGCAUUAGAAUUUUGUAUGAUGAUCAUACUUGACAAUGUGACAGACAUGUGUUCAGUAGUUUUGACAGACUUUGAAACAUCUGCAUUGAGCUAUAUUCAUGUUCCAGUUUAGCAGAUUUCCUUCUGGAACUCUUAUUUGUUGAGUCAGAGAAUAUUUUACUCUUUACUCUUUUUGGAUUAUGAUUGUGUUAAAUUGACAUGAUCUGAUCAGAAUCCCUCAAGGAUUAUAAUUUUCCAGGCUACAUUGCACAAAUAAAAGCAGUCAGGGAGGGAAACCUCUAAAUGGAGUCCCUUGGAGAGGGAGGUGCAGAGAAAAAAAAAAAACAGCUGCUUUUUUGCUUAGACCCUGAUAAACCCAAAAAGACCUUAAACAGGUGAAUAUUUGUUUCUGGUAAUUUAUGAGGAUUUUGACCUGUUGUAGAUCUUAACUGUGACAACAAAGAAUAUUUGUGUUUAACCGCUUUAAAGUCUAAACCGAGCAAGCUAAAAGCCCCCUAUUGACAUUCACGUCCAAGUACAAUAGUUGGCGUCCAUCAGUAAAAAGAGAUCCGGUCUCCAGAUGGUUUUGUUCGGAUCUGUAAGUGACACAGGACAAAUGCUGCUCUUGUUAAAGGAAUGUUGAGCCCAGCUUUUAACUUAAAGAAAAGCCAAUGCCACAGGGACCUCCUGGUGGAAUUUUUGGCAUCUUGGGAGUUGUGGUAGUGGCCGGUCUGAUUGUAGGAGUGGUGGCUACGAUAUGUAUGGUGUACAGGAGAGGACAGAAGCCCCGCACAGAAACAGACAACGAUCUGACUGACCUCCCCCCUGCUCAUAAGCCGGCCCCUCCGCCACCCAAGAAAAAGAGCAGCGACAUGAAAGGCGGCCUGACGUCUGACGAGAUCCAGGUUGUUCAUCUGGACAAGGAGGAUGAGAUACAGAAGAUUCCUCUCCAGCCCCCAUACUAUGACAUGGCACAGUCUGAGUCCACUGCAUUCACCGAUAAGCCGAACUCUGGUCACAUGGACUGUGAUGUGCAGUAUGCGGAACUGGAUACUACAGCUUUGGCUUCCUCUCCCAGCCCACGAAGCUCUGUGCACACUGGCGGGGACCUUGUCGAGUAUGCAACCAUCCAGCCUAGCUCACACUAACGCAUGCCAUUGUAGGCCUUUCCCCCUAUGACUCUGGCCUCAAGAACUCUGGGAACGAAGAGCUACCGAACCCAGCUGGCUAUGUGAGCUGCCAUCAUCCAGGCAACCACGAACAAUUUAUUGAACCUCCACCUCCUUCUGCCUACCCCCCUGUUACCUUCCUGCCCCAGAAACCUUACAGCCAGCACCCUACUAAUACCCCCAUGUACACCUUCCAUCCCAACGCGGCCCCACCCGCCCCCCGACCCCCAUUUAACUACCCCAAAGAGCAAUCCGUCUAGACCCAUGGCUGUCCGAGCGGGAAGACGCCCCAUCUCCUCAUACAGGAUAGCCAUUACGCAUCACACCUGGAGAGAACAACACUUCCUUUCUCAUUACUGUUGUCCUGCGCUGGCCACAUCAGGAUGCGGGCGUUCUCCCGGAACAAUGAAUAAAAGUGUCAGUAGUUUGUGGACCUGAAACCGUGUGUUGUGCACUGCAUGUUUCACUAUGAGGCUGUGGUUAGGACCCCUAGUCUUGUGCUGUAAAUAUAGAAACACCGCACCACAACUCUACACCCUCCCUCCCCUCACAACAGCACACCUCACUUCUCCUGAACACAGGGUAUCAGCCUUCGCUCUGCCUAAACCUCUCUUAGAUCUUCCCCUCCUUUAUUUUAAUUCUGCCAAAUGUCUGACCAUUGACAGUGUUUCAAGAAAUUGUCACCCAAAAGGGAACAUUCGGUCAUUAUUUAUGCACUCUCAUGUGAUUUCAAAGCGUAUGCUGAUAUUUUAUUUCUAGAGCAUAGAAGAUGAUUUUUUAAAUAACCUUCUCGCAGCUCUUUUCCGAGAAAUGGUUCAAGGUAAUUAUGUCUGUCAGAUUCCAAAAAGGACACUUUAAUAAAUAAAGUUUCUUUAUUGGCAUCAGUUGUUACAUGAUGAAUAUUUAACAUCUAUAGAACCUUUCCAUUCCACAAAAGCUUUUUAAGUGAAAAGAGGUUCUUUCGAUUUUUAAAUGUUCGUCAAACUAAGUAAAAGUGGCUCUCUUAAGGAAUGUUCACUGAAAAGUUCUUUGGGAACCAAAAACGAUUAUUCUGUAGCAUUGCUGUGAAAACCGAUUUUGCGGUGUAUGGAAAAUAACCGCUUGAAUGAUAUUUAAGAGUUCUUUUUUUGUGUGUUCCUGUUAAAAAAUAACCUCAUACAGAUUUGCAAUUGCAUGAGGCCGAGUAGGUAAUGACAGAACUGUUUCUUUGUCAUUGUGUCACCAUUUUGCUUUCUUUUUUCUUUUUUUUUCUCUUUCAGUGAGUUUUGUUUUAUCGAUUGUUACACAUUUGUGUAUUGCUCUUUUAUUCUUCAGAUUAUAUUUGCUUGCUUCUUGUUGUACAUGUUUGAGUUAAGUGACUGUUAAAAUGUAACAUUUUAUUUGUCUAUUGACAUUUUGUCAAAAUUACGACAUGGCACAACAUCCCAACAGUGAUUCUGCUGAAACAGCAUUAUAUGGGUAAAUUGGCAGUGCCCGUUUUUCUCAAAGGUAUCCAAAUAGUACCAACUAUCAAUAAAAUAUUUAGUCAUUAUAAUCUAAAAUGUGAAUGUUCCCUCUGCUCUACAUGAGAAAAAAUUAAAGGGCUCUAUUUCACUUCCUCUCAUAAGAUAUCAUCCUGUGUCACAAGUGAAACACUUCAUUUUUGAUGGCAUAAACACUUUCAUCUCGUUUUGCUUGUAGUUACCAAAGAAAUAGAGCAUUCCAUAUUUGUUUCCACACAAAUGUUUACAUUUGGUAUUAUCAAAGAUUUAGUGAGAUAAGCUGAUACUUUUCAUCAGGAAACUCAUUCAUGUUUCAAGCGAUCCAGAUAAUCGUAACUCUCAUGUAUCAAUUUAUUUAUUUGAAAUCUUGUUAAAAGAUAAUGUUUUAUUUCCGUUGCUGCUGUAUUCAUAAGUGUAGGUUGUCCUUGAAAAUGCAUGUGUUUCUAUACAGUUUCAUUGUCAUCAUCUCUUUUUGUUAAACCUACUAUUAAUGUUCCAUUUUGUUUCACUGGUUGACAUACACAAAACCUUUUCAGGGACAAUCCACAACUUUUUUCCUCAUUAAGCUAUUUUUGAAAGAAAAGCAUAUGUUGAUGUAUUUUUUUAGAGAAUGAUCCUCAGAAUGCGCUUACCGUCUAAAACAUAUUUAAUGUCCUAUUCAGUCCUGAACCCUUACAAAGAGCCAAUACAAAUCACUGCUGCCCUCUUUACAACCUCAACCAGACCUCUUCAAAGAAUGAGAUCAUCUAACAAGAAUGACGCUCAUGUUGUUAAGCCAUGUCAAAUGUACAUGCUGAAAAAGAAAAAAAAAAAAUGUGCUCAAUGUUUGUGGUCAAUGUGAAAGUUACAAGUAAUAAAAGACGAACCCUUAGAGUUGUUCAGGACUGGUUAAAAAAAAAAAAAAAUUAUUUUUGCAGUGGUUUAUGGGAUAGGUUACAAUAUGUGAAGCUACCUACUCUGCACACCUUUAUGUCUGGCAUUGAUUUGUAUGUGUGUACUAGUGUAGCAUUAGACUCAUCUGUGGUUCCUGGGUCACAUUGCUGGAUAGAAAUACCUGUCCCCAUGUCACAUAUUUUGGAUUAUUGCUGCCACAUGUAUUAUUAUUAUUAUUAUUAUUAUUAUUAUUAUUCAACACUGAACAAUGCAUCCUUUGCCCCUGGUUGAUUUUCUUUGUUGUCCUACUGCCUCGGAUAAUUUGAAAUUGCAAAGUUUUUCUUUUCUUCUGAAAUUGCAAUAUUAUUUUACUUCAUUUCUAUGUUUGCAGUCCUGCUGAGUUUGUUUUUUACACGUGAGCUGUAGGUUUUUGUUAAUAUUUUCUAACACAUACGAUGUAUACAUUAUAUCUUCAUGUUUGUAAAGGAAAAUCAUUGCCCGAGUCAUUGUGAACACAUGAACUCAAUCAAUGUAUGUCACUGCAAGUUAUUCUUCCAUAUGUGAAGUAUUAUGACUUUUUUGUCUUUUUUUUUUUUUUUACAUGGGGAUUAUGUUUGGUGUAAAAAUUAACUUCAUGUACCAGAUGUGUGAAACAAAACUCAUGCAGAUGAAAAUUAAACUUCAC
rnacentral:lncRNA from 12 species